GAGGAAAAAAUAAAUUCAAGCCAAUCUAGGAUCGUCAUUACUUAAUUCUGGCAUUUUUAGUUAAUCCUGCAAUUUUAAUCUUGGCAUCGCGUAUAGUUAUUAAAGGACAUAUAAAUUUUUUCCUUCAAACUGGUGAAAAUUGAACGCAAAAAAGUGAAUGUGCGAUCAGUUGAGAAUAGUCUGUUUUUCUCUGGUUACGUGGCUUUAAAUCGCAAUUGCCAACGGCUAAAAGGGAAGGAAAAAGGGAAGAGAAUGUCAUAAGUUACGUGAAAACGUCAAAAAAGGUGGGGUAAGAAUAAUAAAGCCCUUGUAAUUAUCAAUGCCACAGGCUAGCGGCGUGCAUUAGGGGGACAAAAGUUCUUAUAAAAUGAGGACCAAACCAAACAUGAAUCAGUCGAGUGGGCUCAUUGAUCAGCAACGGUAGUGAACAGAGUCGCUUAUCCAACCCUUCCCUAUCAAAUCAACUUUAUCUUGCAAUCAUGGCCAACUACGCCACGAUGCUCCUGUUGGCUCUUGUUUCUUUGAUAGGUCGAGAGGCCGUGGGUGGACCGAUGGGAUCGUCUUCAUCCGGGUACUACACCACUCCGGCGUCCUACUACACCACUCCGGCGUCCUACUACACCACUCCGGCGUCCUACUACACCACUCCGGCGUCCUACUACACCACUCCGGCGUCCUACUACACCACUCCGGCGUCCUACUACACCACUCCGGCGUCCUACUACACCACUCCGGCGUCCCGCGUACUACACAAC